rnacentral:rRNA from 1 species
GGGUUGUGAGGUUAAGCGACUAAGCGUACACGGUGGAUGCCCUGGCAGUCAGAGGCGAUGAAGGACGUGCUAAUCUGCGAAAAGCGUCGGUAAGGUGAUAUGAACCGUUACAGCCGGCGAUGUCCGAAUGGGGAAACCCAGUGCAAUUCGUUGCACUAUCGUUAACUGAAUACAUAGGUUAACGAGGCGAACCGGGGGAACUGAAACAUCUAAGUACCCCGAGGAAAAGAAAUCAACCGAGAUUCCCCCAGUAGCGGCGAGCGAACGGGGAGCAGCCCAGAGUCUGAAUCAGCUUGUGUGUUAGUGGAACGGUCUGGAAAGUCCGACGGUACAGGGUGAUAGUCCCGUACACCAAAAUGCACAGGCUGUGAACUCGAAGAGUAGGGCGGGACACGUGGUAUCCUGUCUGAAUAUGGGGGGACCAUCCUCCAAGGCUAAAUACUCCUGACUGACCGAUAGUGAACCAGUACCGUGAGGGAAAGGCGAAAAGAACCCCGGCGAGGGGAGUGAAAAAGAACCUGAAACCGUGUACGUACAAGCAGUGGGAGCACCUUCGGGUGUGACUGCGUACCUUUUGUAUAAUGGGUCAGCGACUUAUAUUCUGUAGCAAGGUUAACCGUAUAGGGGAGCCGCAGGGAAACCGAGUCUUAACUGGGCGUUAAGUUGCAGGGUAUAGACCCGAAACCCGGUGAUCUAGCCAUGGGCAGGUUGAAGGUUGGGUAACACUAACUGGAGGACCGAACCGACUAAUGUUGAAAAAUUAGCGGAUGACUUGUGGCUGGGGGUGAAAGGCCAAUCAAACCGGGAGAUAGCUGGUUCUCCCCGAAAGCUAUUUAGGUAGCGCCUCGUGAAUUCAUCUUCGGGGGUAGAGCACUGUUUCGGCUAGGGGGUCAUCCCGACUUACCAACCCGAUGCAAACUGCGAAUACCGAAGAAUGUUAUCACGGGAGACACACGGCGGGUGCUAACGUCCGUCGUGAAGAGGGAAACAACCCAGACCGCCAGCUAAGGUCCCAAAGUCAUGGUUAAGUGGGAAACGAUGUGGGAAGGCACAGACAGCCAGGAUGUUGGCUUAGAAGCAGCCAUCAUUUAAAGAAAGCGUAAUAGCUCACUGGUCAAGUCGGCCUGCGCGGAAGAUGUAACGGGGCUAAACCAUGCACCGAAGCUGCGGCAGCGACACUAUGUGUUGUUGGGUAGGGGAGCGUUCUGUAAGCCUGCGAAGGUGUGCUGUGAGGCAUGCUGGAGGUAUCAGAAGUGCGAAUGCUGACAUAAGUAACGAUAAAGCGGGUGAAAAGCCCGCUCGCCGGAAGACCAAGGGUUCCUGUCCAACGUUAAUCGGGGCAGGGUGAGUCGACCCCUAAGGCGAGGCCGAAAGGCGUAGUCGAUGGGAAACAGGUUAAUAUUCCUGUACUUGGUGUUACUGCGAAGGGGGGACGGAGAAGGCUAUGUUAGCCGGGCGACGGUUGUCCCGGUUUAAGCAUGUAGGCUGGUUGUCCAGGCAAAUCCGGAUAAUCAAGGCUGAGGUGUGAUGACGAGGCACUACGGUGCUGAAGUAACAAAUGCCCUGCUUCCAGGAAAAGCCUCUAAGCAUCAGGUAACAUUAAAUCGUACCCCAAACCGACACAGGUGGUCAGGUAGAGAAUACCAAGGCGCUUGAGAGAACUCGGGUGAAGGAACUAGGCAAAAUGGUGCCGUAACUUCGGGAGAAGGCACGCUGGUGUGUAGGUGAAGUCCCUGCGGAUGGAGCUGAGACCAGUCGAAGAUACCAGCUGGCUGCAACUGUUUAUUAAAAACACAGCACUGUGCAAACACGAAAGUGGACGUAUACGGUGUGACGCCUGCCCGGUGCCGGAAGGUUAAUUGAUGGGGUUAUCCGUAAGGAGAAGCUCUUGAUCGAAGCCCCGGUAAACGGCGGCCGUAACUAUAACGGUCCUAAGGUAGCGAAAUUCCUUGUCGGGUAAGUUCCGACCUGCACGAAUGGCGUAAUGAUGGCCAGGCUGUCUCCACCCGAGACUCAGUGAAAUUGAACUCGCUGUGAAGAUGCAGUGUACCCGCGGCAAGACGGAAAGACCCCGUGAACCUUUACUAUAGCUUGACACUGAACAUUGAGCCUUGAUGUGUAGGAUAGGUGGGAGGCUUUGAAGCGUGGACGCCAGUCUGCGUGGAGCCAACCUUGAAAUACCACCCUUUAAUGUUUGAUGUUCUAACGUUGGCCCCUUACCGGGGUUGCGGACAGUGUCUGGUGGGUAGUUUGACUGGGGCGGUCUCCUCCCAAAGCGUAACGGAGGAGCACGAAGGUUAGCUAAUCCUGGUCGGACAUCAGGAGGUUAGUGCAAUGGCAUAAGCUAGCUUGACUGCGAGCGUGACGGCGCGAGCAGGUGCGAAAGCAGGUCAUAGUGAUCCGGUGGUUCUGAAUGGAAGGGCCAUCGCUCAACGGAUAAAAGGUACUCCGGGGAUAACAGGCUGAUACCGCCCAAGAGUUCAUAUCGACGGCGGUGUUUGGCACCUCGAUGUCGGCUCAUCACAUCCUGGGGCUGAAGUAGGUCCCAAGGGUAUGGCUGUUCGCCAUUUAAAGUGGUACGCGAGCUGGGUUUAGAACGUCGUGAGACAGUUCGGUCCCUAUCUGCCGUGGGCGCUGGAGAAUUGAGGGGGGCUGCUCCUAGUACGAGAGGACCGGAGUGGACGCAUCACUGGUGUUCGGGUUGUCAUGCCAAUGGCACUGCCCGGUAGCUAAAUGCGGAAGAGAUAAGUGCUGAAAGCAUCUAAGCACGAAACUUGCCCCGAGAUGAGUUCUCCCUGAGACUUUAAGUCUCCUGAAGGAACGUUAAAGACGAUGACGUUGAUAGGCCGGGUGUGUAAGCGCAGCGAUGCGUUGAGCUAACCGGUACUAAUGAACCGUGAGGCUUAACCUUACAACGCCGAAG